rnacentral:rRNA from 1 species
CCUACGGGGGGCAGCAGUGGGGAAUAUUGGACAAUGGGGGGAACCCUGAUCCAGCCAUGCCGCGUGUGUGAAGAAGGCCCUCGGGUUGUAAAGCACUUUCAGUGAGGAAGAACGCCUGGUGGUUAAUACCCAUCAGGAAAGACAUCACUCACAGAAGAAGCACCGGCUAACUCCGUGCCAGCAGCCGCGGUAAUACGGAGGGUGCGAGCGUUAAUCGGAAUUACUGGGCGUAAAGCGCGCGUAGGUGGCUUGAUAAGCCGGUUGUGAAAGCCCCGGGCUCAACCUGGGAACGGCAUCCGGAACUGUCAAGCUAGAGUGCAGGAGAGGAAGGUAGAAUUCCCGGUGUAGCGGUGAAAUGCGUAGAGAUCGGGAGGAAUACCAGUGGCGAAGGCGGCCUUCUGGACUGACACUGACACUGAGGUGCGAAAGCGUGGGUAGCAAACAGGAUUAGAUACCCCUGUAGGC